UCUCGUGCUUUCCCUCUGGUCUGGAGCGUCUGCCUGGCUGCUAGGCUGCAGUUCGUGUCCCCACGCAUGCUCUUGACAGCCCUUUCCAGACGUGGCGUGGGCCCCGAUGUGUCCUGGAGAGGAGUUGUUUUCCUCGCCAGCUGAUUCCUGAGAAUGAGGAACCGUGGUGCCACUCGCUGUUCAGUGUGCUGAGAGAAUGGGGGGCCACCGAGGGUGACGCCCCCGACCGCAGUCUCCCUGCUGAGAUUCCAACUCAAAGUUGUGUGCGGGGAGCACUGCCCGGAGGGAUGGGGUGUCAUUCCGCCAGAGAGAGACGUCCCCGAGUUAGAGGCCCCACUUCUGAGCAGGGAGGAGGGAGGAGGGCAGGACACCCCCUCGGAUGGCUGUUCCCUGGCCUGGGUGAUUGGUGGCCCUGGGGGGUUGGUGGGCGGCGUCCAGAUCUCUCCCAGUUCUGCUCUGUGGCGUGGGGUGCUGGGGGCCGAGCCUGCGGGCCUUCCACACCGUCCGAGCCCCUUUUCUGGCCUGACGCCUCGGUUAGUUCAUGGGCGCACUCUUGCCCUGCCUGCUUGCUGUUGGCUGUUUUCUUAUGUCUGAUCUCACAGAGUUCCAUACUCUGGGGAGCCGCCGCCUGCCUGGAAGCCUGGCCUUCCUGCUCUCUGCCGGCUCCCUCCCUGUGGGCGUCUUCUCCGCAGGCUCUCUCUCUGGGAUCUUUUAGUUCAACUCUUGUGCUCCUGGUUUCCCAUCUUCGAGUUGUUUCUUCCUCAAGGCACCCUCUUCUCGUUUCGUGGAUGCAGCACCUUCUCUCAGAGGAAACUUUAGUUGUUUGUUUUUAGAGUAGACUUUUUGAAGCAGUUUUAGGUGCCCAGCAUAAUUGACGGGAAGGCACAGAGAUUUCUCACGCACCCACAGCCUCCCCCAGUAUCCACACCCCACCAGAGUGGUGCAUUUGUACAGUUGAUGAACCGACACGGGCACCUCAUCAUCCAGAGUCCAUAGUGGGGAGUCCAUAGUAGGGUUCACACUUGGUGUUGUGCAUUCUGUGGGUAUGAACAAACGUACAGUGAUGUGGAUCCACCAUCGCAGUAUCAUACAGUGUAGUUUCACUGUCCUGAAAAUCCUCUGUGCUCCUCCCACUUACCCCUCCCUCCCCUAACCCCUGACUAUCACUGAAAGGAUCUCUCCCGGUCUCCAGAGUUCCGCCUUUUCCAGAAUGCCAUAUGGUUGGAAUCAUACAGUAUGGAGCCGUUUCAGGUUGGCUUAUUUCACUUAGUCAUAUGCACUUAAGGAUCCUCCGUGUCUUUUCGUGGCUUGAUAGCUCAUUUCUUUAUCAUGCUGAAGAACAGUCCACUGUCUUCAGUGGCUGUCCCACAGUUUAUGUACGUAUCCAUUCGCCUACUGAAGGACACUUCGGUGGCUUCUGAAGGACACCUUGGUUGCUUCCAAGUUUUGGCAGUUAUGAACAAAGCUGCUGUAAACAUCCGUGUGCAGGUUUUUGUGUGGACAUAAGUUUUUAGCUCCUUUGGGUAAAUGCCAAAGGGCAUGAUUGCUGGGAUAUAUGGUGAGAAUAUGUUUAGUUUUGUAAAAAACUGCCAAACUGUCUUCCAAAGUAGUUUCAGCCUUUUGCAUUUCCAGCAUCAGUGAAGGCGAGUUCUGUUGCUCUGCAUCCUUGCCGGCAUUUGGUGUUUUGGGCCAUUCUAGUAGGUGUGUGGUGGUGGCAUGUUGUUUCAGUCUGCGUUUCCCUGAGGACAAGUGAUGUGGAGCAUCUUUUCACGUGCUCAUUCGCCAUCUGUGUAUUUUCUUUGGUGAGGUGUCUGUUAAAAUCGUGGCCCAUUUUUUAAUCGGGUUGUUUGUUACCUUGUUGUUGAGUUUUAGGUGGUCUUGGUCUGUUUUGGAUGAUGGUGUUUUGUUCAUGUGUCUGAAGUCUUUUCUCCCUUCCCUGGCUUGUCUUUUCAUCCCCUCAGACUGUAGUUUUUGAAAGUCUUUUGUCAUUCUGACCAUGUGUUUCCUGGGCCUCUGUCUUCACACUGCAGACCUUCCUCACGUGCUGGCGCUGAAGCAGAUGCUUCGGUUCUGGUCCUGGCUGCGCUGCCUUCUGUGGGGUGCCCUCAAGUCUGCAUCUGCUGGUCUCUGGGGGCCGUCCCACUGGGGCUGCCCCCUGAGGAUGGGAUGGUCCACUGCUCCCUUGUUUCCAGGCGGGGUGCACACCCUUGCCUCCAUGUCUGGUUCCCUUGGCACAGGCCACCAUGGUCCCUGGGCACCCCCAGCAGAGGGAGGGUGGGGAGUGGGGCUGGGUGUGCUUCUGCGCAGGACCGUACUCAGCUGCUGUCUGACCCGAAUCUCCCCCAUGCUCCUGCCGUGGCUGACUGCUUCCGGCCUCGUGGGAGCGUGCAGGGGCUGCGUCCUGAGUCCUCCACAGGCACCCUGCAGGCUGCUCUCCCAGGGGACUCGGAGCAUAGCAGCCUGACGGGAGGCUGCUGGGAUCUUCCUCGUAUCAUCCUGCAGCCCAGUGCCCUGGCGAGUGCCCCCACUCCUCGGCAGGGUGUGCGCGUCUGUCUCCGGGCACCUGUGUCCCGAGCCUGCCCACGCCUGGCACUGCCCAGGUCCUCCUGGGCCUGUUUAUUUCUGAAGUCCCUGGCCCCAGGCAGAGCGGGGUCCAGGGCUGCACUCGGGAGAGGCGUCCCUGCGCAUAUGGGGGUGGUGGAUACCAGGAUGGCAGGCACUCCUGGAGGAGGGUGCUUUAUGCCUCCAGGUGAGGGGUUGGGUGGGCUUGAACCUCCCUUUAUGGGUUUUCACACAGCUUGCACCCUGGACUGGAGGGUGGGUGAGGGUGGACGCCUGGGGUCACUCUGCUGCCACGUGUUGCAUCCAGGUCCUGCCUGGCCAGACCGGCUGGUGAGGCCACAGCUGCCUCUCGACCUCCCUCUUCCUGUGGCUACCGUUGUGCCCCCAGGAGGGGCCGCCGGGCUUAACAGAGAGAAGGCAGGACACCCAGGUCAGUCUCAGACCGGCAGUGGCUUUUUAGGGAAGGAUGUCCUGCACAGUGUUUGGGAAAUACUUAGACUAAAAACAUUAUCUGCUGUUUAUCUGAAAUUCAGAUUUGGCUGGGCAUCCUGUAGUUUAUCUGGCAGCCCUGCCAAGGGGCCCUGGGCGACAUCUGGGGACAUUUGUGGUUGUCACUCGGGGGUUGGGGAUGUGGCUGCUCCUGGCAUUGAGUGGGCCAGGCCCAGGGGUGCUCUUGGCUCCCUUCAGCGCCCAGGACGGCCCCACGGAGAAUGCUAGGCCCAAACGUCGGCUGUGCCAGGCCAAGAAAGCUGCCCUGGGCACAGGCUCACCCUGACUCACCCCUUUGGCUGACCUGUGCCCUGUUACUCAGCUGUGGCAGGGGUUGGGGGGACAGGGGUGCACUGCAGCCCUGUCAGUCCUGAGGGGUUGCCAAGUGCGGGCACACGUGGCUCAGAAAGUGCCUGCGCCCAGCACCUGGCCCUGUCUACCCCAGCCUGCCUCAAACCCUGUGGAACAUCCGCCUGGCAAGUGAGACAGGUGUCAGCCCGGGCCCAUCCACCAUGCACUCUGGUGGCCUCUUCACCAGCCCUUCCUGGGGCCUGUCCCCUGGCUGGGUCACCUCCCUCCCUGGCCAGGACCCUCUGAUGUUCGCUCUCCCCCGUGACCUCACAUUCUGCACCCCCACGCCCGACUCUUCCCUCGCCAGUAUUUCAUACUGUUUUUGCUGUCUCUACCAAAGUCUUAAGAAAUAGAAGUAUACCUGCACGUGGCUUAAAAACCCGACAAUGUUAAAAGGUUUAUGAUGGAAAAUGACCGUCUUGCCUCCCUUCUCACUGGCGUGGACCCAUCCUACCCAGAGGCAGCUCCUUUUUUCUAAUUAACUUUUUAUUUUGAAAUAAUGAUGGAUUCACAGGAAGCUGCGAAAAAAAUGAACAGGGAGGUCCCAGGGACCCUCACCCAGUUCCCCACACUCGGGGGAUGGACACUGGCCACCCAGGGAGUGGAUGCAGGUGCCUCCAGACUCCAGGUGCUCACGGGCCUGUGUGCGUGCAUCAGUGCGGCUGAUCACGCGUGUGGACCCGUGUCACCCCAUCAGGACAGUUGUGCUGUCACACCAGGCCCCCUGUGCUCCACAGGUCACGAGCCUGCUCUCCCUCGUCUCCGUCGUGUCACUUGGGGAACGUUGACAAACGAGUCUGAGAUGGGGUGUUUCAUUCCCCUUGAUGCCCUUCAGACCAUUCGCUGGCGGUGGUCCUUCCCCUGCCGCGUGGUGUCCCAUCGGGACGGCCACAGCUUGCUCUCGUGCUUCGGCCGUUAGGAAUGUGCCCUCUGGCGCUGGAGGUCGGGUCCUCGUGGACGUGUUGGCCUCUCUCUGGGGUCAGUGCCGGGAGCGCGGGUGCUGUGUCACAUGGUGGCCACACUGGGGUUUUAUGAGGAACCAUUUCUACCCCCUCCGAGACGCUGAGUGACCGGCCUCCGAGGCCUUGCUGUGUCCACUCCCGCCCUGGUGCAGCAGUGCUGUCUCACAGCUGCUGUCAUUGUGUUUGCCCCUGACAAACGGUGCUCACUUGCCACGGCGCCUUUGAACCCUUCCAGCCGUGUCUUCUAGCGUGGGAACCCAUCUCUGUGAUGGUCACGCCCACCCCUCGGCCUCAUCUGUGACAUUCUGCGGGGACUGGAAUGUGAGGAGCCGGCCUUCCCCUCCCCUCUCCUUACACCUUGUUCCCGUCCUGAGGACACAGGGCUGCUGGUGAUGUAGCCAGGGAGUGGACAACAGGUGCACGCUCCAGGGCUCCUGGAGCGCACGGACCAGGCGCCCGCCUUCCUCCUGGAGUGCGACAGCUCGGUGCUGGGCGCGCUGCAGAGGCACCUGGCAC